UUCCUCCUCCUUCUGUCCUUCACAAUAUCUACCCUUUGUCUCUACCCUUCUCUGUCGCCAAUUAAAGAGAGAGCAAUAUUCAAAUGCAUUCACAUGAUUUUUUGGUGAUAAUGAUACAAUUACGGCUUACCUCAAAAUGGAGCUUCAGUUCGUCAUAUUGUUGCAGGAUCCUUGACAGGCAUGGAGCAAUGGCAAGCCACCGCGUAUCACACAGCUGCAGGAUCUUGAGAUUGAUAGUAGCGUAUAGGUCUGCAUACUUUUCUUGGCGGACAGUACUAUGUGAAAAGUAGCUGUAUGUUUGUGAUAUCAUGUAUUCAAAGUGGGUGGGCAACUCCUUCAUGGCAUAUGAAACGCAUAGUUGCAGAGAGUGGCAUAUGCACUUAAUAUGUGUGACAUGUGGCUUUAUUUCCCUUAAUCUGGAUAUGACUGAGUUAUGUGCUCCUGACAUGGUUUUGCAACCUGGUCUUGGAUUAGGGACGGCCACCUGCUAAAUCUUAAAUGGCAAGAUUUGUCUCACUUUGAGAUUUGUCAGAAUAGAGACUAAUACACUCUAAGUGAGUACUUUUCCAGGUGAAUAGUGCACACUGAUAAUGCUGAAUGACUGGGCAACACAAUAUUAGAUUAACCUUGUUUACAGUGUGAAUAUAACUACCAGAUGUUAAAGACUGUAGCUCUGGUUUCAAGAGAUAUAUCACGAUGAAGAAUUUCCAGUGUCUUACUAAGACGCCCUUAAAUUAAAUCACUUAUAUCUGAUUAUACAACACCAUACGGCUUCAUAGUUAAGCACAGGUUGGCUUGGGUGAUCCGGAGUUCCCCAGUGACAUCUGGUGGCCGCUCAAUUCACCAUCAGGUCCGGCAGUUGCCAGAUGUGAAGGUUCAACCAGUACUGCUGCUAUUUCAGAGGCGAGUGAGAGCGACCUGGUGGUGUUGAGGCACGAAAUAACACCAAACUGGCCGGACGGAUCCACUGAAGUCAAGGGAAUCACACUGGUCGAAUACGGAAAUCCCAACGGAGGUACAGUGCCACAGAGGUACAGUGGGUGUUCCAGCGGCGAUGUGUACGAAGAUGGUGCUCUGAGGGGAUCCAAACGCGGGGCUGUGUAUUACCGCUCAAACGCGACAUGUACUGUACCACCAAACAGUGCUGGCUCGCGUGAGGCAGGAAGGCAUCCAGGCCAAUACCACAUCCACCUUUGUGUGAUUCCGUGUUUGGAGGUGUGUUUGUGAGCGUGUUUGGAGGAA
rnacentral:lncRNA from 1 species